UACGUAGGUGGCGAGCGUUGUCCGGAAUUACUGGGUGUAAAGGGCGUGUAGGCGGGAUCAUAAGUCAGAUGUGAAAUUCCAUGGCUUAACUGUGGGGCUGCAUCUGAAACUAUGGUUCUUGAGUGCUGGAGAGGAAAGCGGAAUUCCCAGUGUAGCGGUGAAAUGCGUAGAUAUUGGGAGGAACACCAGUGGCGAAGGCGGCUUUCUGGACAGUAACUGACGCUGAGGCGCGAAAGCGUGGGGAGCAAACAGG
rnacentral:rRNA from 1 species